rnacentral:rRNA from 1 species
GCAUAUCAAUAAGCGGAGGAAAAGAAACCAACAGGGAUUGCCUCAGUAGCGGCGAGUGAAGCGGCAAAAGCUCAAAUUUGAAAUCUGGCGUCUUUGGCGUCCGAGUUGUAAUUUGAAGAAGGUAUCUUUGGGCCCGGCUCUUGUCUAUGUUCCUUGGAACAGGACGUCACAGAGGGUGAGAAUCCCGUGCGAUGAGAUGACCCGGGUCUGUGUAAAGUUCCUUCGACGAGUCGAGUUGUUUGGGAAUGCAGCUCUAAGUGGGUGGUAAAUUCCAUCUAAAGCUAAAUAUUGGCGAGAGACCGAUAGCGAACAAGUACAGUGAUGGAAAGAUGAAAAGAACUUUGAAAAGAGAGUGAAAAAGUACGUGAAAUUGUUGAAAGGGAAGGGCUUGAGAUCAGACUUGGUAUUUUGCAUGCUGCUCUCUCGGGGGCGGCCGCUGCGGUUUACCGGGCCAGCAUCGGUUUGGAGCGGCAGGAUAAUGGCGGAGGAAUGUGGCACGGCUUCUGCUGUGUGUUAUAGCCUCUGACGAUACUGCCAGCCUAGACCGAGGACUGCGGUUUUUACCUAGGAUGUUGGCAUAAUGAUCUUAAGUCGCCCGUCUUGAACACGGACC